GAUGAAGAACGUAGCAAAAUGCGAUAAGUAAUGUGAAUUGCAGAAUUCAGUGAAUCAUCGAAUCUUUGAACGCACAUUGCGCCCGCCAGUAUUCUGGCGGGCAUGCCUGUUCGAGCGUCAUUUCAACCCUCAAGCUCAGCUUGGUGUUGGGACUCGCGGUAACCCGCGUUCCCCAAAUCGAUUGGCGGUCACGUCGAGCUUCCAUAGCGUAGUAAUCAUACACCUCGUUACUGGUAAUCGUCGCGGCCACGCCGUAAAACCCCAACUUCUGAAUGUUGACCUCGGAUCAGGUAGGAAUACCCGCUCAACUUAAGCAUAUCAAUAAGCGGAGGA
rnacentral:misc_RNA from 1 species